AUGGGUGGUGAUAUAGCAGUAUGGUCGGCAAGGCAAACAAAUGCCAGUUACGACGAACGAGACCAAAUAUCAAUCUUCACCGCCCUCAUUCAUCUUAACAUCCACGAGGGUAAAAAUAGUUCAUUCGUUGUGUAUAAAACCCUGCAGCCAGCUGGGAUUUCAUGGUUCUACCAUUCAUUCAUAUCUCUCUGCGGCACUAUGCACACCUCUAUCUCAGUAAACAUACAUAACAAAUUAUUUGUUCUCUACAACAUAUACCAGAUUAAAACCAAGAUCCUACAGAAGCCACCAAAAAACAUGAUUAAAUAUAGGAAAUCAACAUGGCUCAGACAUCCAAGGAAGGAAUUAGCAGCAUUAGCUCUCAAGCCUGGCAGGGCGAAAGCUCUUAGGCACCAACUGCGAAUGUUUUGA
rnacentral:rRNA from 1 species